rnacentral:rRNA from 1 species
GACGAACGCUGGCGGCGUGCCUAAUACAUGCAAGUUGAGCGCUGAAGGUUGGUACUUGUACCAACUGGAUGAGCAGCGAACGGGUGAGUAACGCGUGGGGAAUCUGCCUUUGAGCGGGGGACAACAUUUGGAAACGAAUGCUAAUACCGCAUAAAAACUUUAAACACAAGUUUUAAGUUUGAAAGAUGCAAUUGCAUCACUCAAAGAUGAUUCCGCGUUGUAUUAGCUAGUUGGUGAGGUAAAGGCUCACUAAGGCGAUGAUACAUAGCCGACCUGAGAGGGUGAUCGGCCACAUUGGGACUGAGACACGGCCCAAACUCCUACGGGAGGCAGCAGUAGGGAAUCUUCGGCAAUGGACGAAAGUCUGACCGAGAAACGCCGCGUGAGUGAAGAAGGUUUUCGGAUCGUAAAACUCUGUUGGUAGAGAAGAACGUUGGUGAGAGUGGAAAGCUCAUCAAGUGACGGUAACUACCCAGAAAGGGACGGCUAGCUACGUG